UUGAUAAACUCUCAUAUAAUAAUAAAUUAAAAUUUAAUUUUGGUGCAAUAAACUUUGUGAUGCCUUGGCUCAUAGGCAGAUUAUAGAGGCAGAUUAAAACAUAUAGAUAGUAUUAAAUUCAAAAUUGGAAUUUCAGCCUAAUAAAUUUUCUCAUGGCUUGGCCCCUUAACAUAUUUUAUAGACAGAUUAAAAUUUUUUUAUAACAUUUAAAAUUUUAAAUAAAUGAAUAAAAACUCAACUCGGCUCCUAAUAUUUUUUAGCUAGAUCAUUUCAUAAAAAAAUAUAGUUCUUUCUAGUUUCUAUAUAUACAUAGACUCAAAUAUUUUGUUUUUGUACAAAAAAACUUCAUUUAAAUUUAGAAACCAUGAGUUUCUCUCCUAGUAAAUUCUACAUUUUCUUCAUGUUCCUUUGGCUUGCAACUCUCCUAGUUUCAACAUGUGAGGUGGAAACAAAAAUUUGUAAAAUAGAGUAUAAUACAGUAACGACUCAUGGUUGUGAUAAGAAAGAAUGUAAUGUAGAUUGCGUCGAGAGGGAGGGUGCAGCUUAUGGUCAUUGUGUGCCUGCAGGCAUAAUUAUUUCAUUUUGCUUCUGCUACUACAAAUGUUGAGCAAUAUAUUUUUUUUAUCAAGAAAUUUUCACCUUUGGGAAAAGCCUAUUAUUGUGUUGUAUCAUUAUAUGUUUAUAAUGGAUUGAUUGUAUGAAAUGGAAUUGGAAAAA